rnacentral:rRNA from 1 species
AUUGAACGCUGGCGGCAGGCCUAACACAUGCAAGUCGAACGAGUGGCGGACGGGUGAGUAAUGUCUGGGAAACUGCCUGAUGGAGGGGGAUAACUACUGGAAACGGUAGCUAAUACCGCAUACCAUCGGAUGUGCCCAGAUGGGAUUAGCUAGUAGGUGGGGUAACGGCUCACCUAGGCGACGAUCCCUACCUGGUCUGAGAGGAUGACCAGCCACAAUGGAACUGCGACACGGUCCAGACUCAUAAGGUAGGCAGCAGGGGGGAAUAUUGGACAAUGGGCGAAAGCCUGAUGCAGCCAUGCCGCGUGUAUGAAGAAGGCCUUCGGGUUGUAAAGGACUUUCAGCGGUGAGGCGUUACCUGCAGAAGAAGCACCGGCUAACUCCGUGCCAGCAGCCGCGGUAAUAC